rnacentral:rRNA from 1 species
AUUGAACGCUGGCGGCAUGCCUUACACAUGCAAGUCGAACGGUAACGCGGGGGCAACCCUGGCGACGAGUGGCGAACGGGUGAGUAAUACAUCGGAACAUAUCCAGUAGCGGGGGAUAACCUAUCGAAAGAUUGGCUAAUACCGCAUACGAUCUACGGAUGAAAGCAGGGGGACCGCAAGGCCUUGCACUAUUGGAGUGGCCGAUGUCAGAUUAGCUAGUUGGUGGGGUAAAAGCCUACCAAGGCGACGAUCUGUAGCUGGUCUGAGAGGACGAUCAGCCACACUGGAACUGAGACACGGUCCAGACUCCUACGGGAGCAGCAGUAAGGAAUAUUGGUCAAUGGACGCAAGUCUGAACCAGCCAUGCCGCGUGAAGGAUUAAGGUCCUCUGGAUUGUAAACUUCUUUUAUCUGGGACGAAAAAAGGCGAUUCUUCGUCACUUGACGGUACCAGAUGAAUAAGCACCGGCUAACUCCGUGCCAGCAGCCGC